rnacentral:rRNA from 1 species
AGCGAACGCUGGCGGCAGGCCUAACACAUGCAAGUCGAACGAAGUCUUCGGACUUAGUGGCGGACGGGUGAGUAACACGUGGGAACGUACCUUUUGGUUCGGAACAACUCAGGGAAACUUGAGCUAAUACCGGAUGAGCCCUUAGGGGGAAAGAUUUAUCGCCGAAAGAGCGGCCCGCGUUAGAUCAGCUAGUUGGUGAGGUAAAGGCUCACCAAGGCUACGAUCUAUAGCUGGUCUGAGAGGAUGAUCAGCCACACUGGGACUGAGACACGGCCCAGACUCCUACGGGAGGCAGCAGUGGGGAAUCUUGCGCAAUGGGCGAAAGCCUGACGCAGCCAUGCCGCGUGAAUGAUGAAGGUCUUAGGACUGUAAAAUUCUUUUACCAGGGACGAUAAUGACGGUACCUGGAGAAAAAGCCCCGGCUAACUUCGUGCCAGCCGCCGCAGUAACAC